GGUAGCCUUCUUUCAUGGAUUUUCCAGUGCAAGCAUAGUUGCUCAGUGGUGUCCGACUCUUUGCGAACCCAUGGGCUGUACCCUGGCCAGGCUCCUCUGUCCAUGGAGUUCUCCAGGCAAGAACACUAGAGUGGGUGGCCAUUCCCUUCUCCAGGGAAUCUUCCCAACCCAUGGAUGGAACCCAGGUGUCCUGCAUUGCAGCAGAUUACCUCCUUAAUCCUCCUGAAGUCUCAUCAUAGGAAGACAAUUCUAUUGAGAGAAAAGGGAAUGGAAGCUCAUCAUCGUUAUACCCUCUUCCUCAUUAUCAUCAUCACAUGAUUAUAACCAAGCAGGACCCUAUGGUUGGAUGGCAUCACCGACUCAGUGGACGUGAAUCUGAACAAAAACUCCGAUGGGAACCACCUGCCCCCUCAGAUGGAGGAAGUACUUGCUGACCAUGAGCACACAGCCUCAGGCCUCCUGGAGCCCAAGGACUGAUAACCUCUGUGAUACCACCUGACUGUCUCAACAUCAGCCAAUCAGAGAAUUGGCCGUGCACAAGCUGAUCACUACCUUUCGACCUCCUCUUCACCUGCCCUUUAAAAAUGCUCUGCCAAAACCUUUCAGGGAGCUCAGGGCUUUUCAGGGCAUGAGCCACCUCGUCUCCUUGUGUGACCUUGCAAUAAACCUUUCUCUGCCCCAGACUCUGACAUUUCAGUUUAUCUGCUCUCACUGCGCACAGGGGAACACGAACUUGCAUAUACAUGAUUGCUGUAGUGUGAUUGGCAUCUGCCGUGUGCGAUUCUAAGUGCUUUUCACAUGUUAGUUCACUCUCACAGCUUGACAAGUACAUAUUUUGAUAAUAAUAGCUGCUGUAUAUCGGAUGCUUCCUGUGUGCUAGAUAGACACUGUGCUAAAUACAUUUACCAUUUCAUUUAUACUAUACAAUGGUGUAUACGUGUCCUAUAUUGACAAAACGAAGGCUGGAAGAGUCCUGUGUUUGUCUCUGCACUAUCAAUUUAAAUGAACCUGUUUGUUUAUUUGCAGCCUUCCUUCACAUCCCUAAAUUAACCAAACCACAACACGGUGAUCAUUUUUGAAGAAUGUGAAGUUGUUGGUUUGGUGUCACCCUCAAGAGUUCUGGAGAAAUCUAUCCUGCUCAAGACAGCAGGAAAAAAGAAUUUCAACGCCUAUUUGGUUACUAAGUACACAGAGAGCAAGACGAGACAGAGAGUUCUGAGCUCAAAGUGCAGAGAGUCCGAGUAAUUGUCCAGAACAAAUGAAGCGCUCAGAAUGAAUGACUAAGGACAUUGCCACAAUGUUCUCUGCUCAGGCUAUUAGAUCACCCCAGAAAAACACACAGCUAUUUUUGAGGAUGGAAAGGAGCUUUGUGUGUGCGCUCCAGCUGCUCCCUUGCCUUCUGGUAGGCUCUGAAAAAAAUCCAUGAUGCAUGCAGACAAGCGAUUCUGUUCCAGCCUUUGCUACUGAAAGCAUAGUCUAAGGCUCAGCAGCCCUGGCUUCACCCAGGAACUUGUUGCAGCCUGUGGGGCCCCACCU
ensembl:lncRNA